ACACAGGCUCUUUUCAGAGCCACUGAAUUCUGUCAAAGUUGAUACUU
rfam:Colinus virginianus strain Texas jcf7180006226733, whole genome shotgun sequence.